GCCAGGCGCAGUGGCAUGUGCCUGUAGUCCCAGCUACUUGGAAGGCUGAGGUGGGAGGAUCACUUGAGCCCAGGAGUUCUGGGCUAUGCCGAUCGGGUGUCCACACUAAGUUCUGCAUCAAUAUGGUGACCUCCUGGGAGUGGGGGACCACCAGGUUGCCUAAGGAGGGAUGAACCGGCCCAGGUCGGAAACAGAGCAGGUCAAAACUUGCAUGCUGAUUAGUAGUGGUAUCACACCUGUGAAUAACCACUGUACUCCAGCAUGGGCAACAUAGCGAGACCCCCAUCUCUU
ensembl:misc_RNA Metazoa_SRP Metazoan signal recognition particle RNA